CGACGGGAGGCAGCAGUGAGGAAGAGUGGUCAAGGGACGAGAGUCGGAACCAGCCAAGUAGCGUGAAGGAGGACGGGCCUAGGGGUUGUAAACUUCUUUUAUAGGGGAAUAAAAUGUUCCACGUGUGGGAUUUUGUAUGUACCAUAGGAAGAAGGAGCGGCGAACUCCGGGCCAGCAGCCGCGGUAAUACGGAGGAUCCGAGCUUUAUCCGGAGUGAUUGGGUUUAACGGGAGCGUAGGUGGAUUGUUAAGUCAGUUGUGAACGUUUGCGGCUCAACCGUAAAAUUGCAGUUGAAACUGGCAGUCUUGAGUACAGUAGAGGUGGUCGGAAUUCGUGGUGUAGCGGU
rnacentral:rRNA from 1 species